UUCCAGGACCACGAUGUAAUAAGCAAGCGAGAAGACGCACACUCCGGUCGGGAGACGGAUGAAGCACCCUGGCGCUCAGUGGGGUGAUGUCCAUCUCCCCAGUUCCAGAAGAAAACGUCUCUCUCUGCAGUCCCUGGUGUCACCUGAAAACCAAAAUAAGGAUUCUUCACUCUCACCGAUGCCAUCCAGCACUGUAAAAUGUACUGCCAGCAAGACAUACUGUAGCUCGUCAUGGCCAAGAUGACACGGCUGCUCCCCAAAGAUGGAGCGUUUUCUGACUUUCCUCCUCUGCCAUCUUUUUCCAGAGGGAUUCUUCCCAUUCAUCCUUGACAAAAGAAGACUUUUGCUGAAUGCACUGUGGUUCUCACAAGCUAAGUGACUGCCUGGGGAAUCGCAGCUGAAGAAACUACUAUGAAUCCCUCUCAGGAGGGGGAUAAAUCAACAUUUAUUGAUCAGUUACCUGGUUCUGGGUCAAGCACCUUUGAAUCCUCACAAUUCUAAGAGUUAUCAAAGUGGGAGACAAAGAAUGGACAUGGUCCAGUGUUGAAACUGAGAAGAACUUUCAACUGGACACCAAGAGUUGAGACAGAAUCUCCUGGAAGCCAGGAGCUGGGGAAGAAAGAUGGGGAGGGACCUUGUCAUCUGCUCAAAUGGCCAAAAUCAGAUGCUAAAACCACCACCAGUGGAAGAAAUUAACUACUUGAUGAUCAUGAGCAAUAGCCCCCAGACCUACUGGCGCCUAAGGAUGGAUAAUGUUAACCCCAUGACACGGCCCUGUUACCUCACCAUCAACCAACCGCAGAACUGCGCACGAGCUGAACACGUACCCUGUGACCCCGCUCCCUCACCUGGCCUUUAUAAAUGCUUUGCUGAAACCCAUCAGAGAUUUGGGGCUUUUUGAGCACUAGCCAUCCUGGACUCCUUGCUUGGAGCCCUGCAAUAAAUGCUGCACUUUCCUUCACCACGUCCCUGUGUCAGUAGGUUGGCUAUACUGCAUGGGCAAGCGG